rnacentral:rRNA from 1 species
UACGAAGGGGGCUAGCGUUGCUCGGAAUCACUGGGCGUAAAGCGCACGUAGGCGGACUCUUAAGUCGGUGGUGAAAUCCUGGAGCUCAACUCCAGAACUGCCUUCGAUACUGGGAGUCUUGAGUCCGGGAGAGGUGAGUGGAACUGCGAGUGUAGAGGUGAAAUUCGUAGAUAUUCGCAAGAACACCAGUGGCGAAGGCGGCUCACUGGCCCGGUACUGACGCUGAGGCGCGAAAGCUAGGGGAGCAAACAGG